GACGAACGCUGGCGGCGUGCUUAACACAUGCGAGUCGAACGGAAAGGCCCUGCUUUUGUGGGGUGCUCGAGUGGCGAACGGGUGAGUAACACGUGAGUAACCUGCCCUUGACUUUGGGAUAACUUCAGGAAACUGGGGCUAAUACCGGAUAGGAGCUCUUGCUGCAUGGUGGGGGUUGGAAAGUUUCGGCGGUUGGGGAUGGACUCGCGGCUUAUCAGCUUGUUGGUGGGGUAGUGGCUUACCAAGGCUUUGACGGGUAGCCGGCCUGAGAGGGUGACCGGCCACAUUGAGACUGAGAUACGGCCCAGACUCCUACGGGAGGCAGCAGUGGGGAAUAUUGCACAAUGGGCGGAAGCCUGAUGCAGCAACGCCGCGUGCGGGAUGACGGCCUUCGGGUUGUAAACCGCUUUCGCCUGUGACGAAGCGUGAGUGACGGUAAUGGGUAAAGAAGCACCGGCUAACUACGUG
rnacentral:rRNA from 1 species